rnacentral:tRNA from 1 species
CUCUCGGUAGCCAAGUUGGUUUAAGGCGCAAGACUUUAAUUUAUCACUACGGAAUUCCGUAAUCUUGAGAUCGGGCGUUCGAUCGCCCCGGGAGA